UACGGAGGGUGCAAGCGUUAAUCGGAAUGACUGGGCGUAAAGCGCACGCAGGCGGUUAAAUAAGUUAGAUGUGAAAGCCCCGGGCUCAACCUGGGAAUUGCAUUUAAAACUGUUGAACUAGAGUCUUGUAGAGGGGGGUAGAAUUCCAAGUGUAGCGGUGAAAUGCGUAGAGAUUUGGAGGAAUACCGGUGGCGAAGGCGGCCCCCUGGACAAAGACUGACGCUCAGGUGCGAAAGCGUGGGGAGCAAACAGG
rnacentral:rRNA from 1 species